rnacentral:lncRNA from 1 species
GCAAAAUCAAUUAACUACUUCUAUCCAUAGGAAUUUAUUGACUUCCACCCAUUUUAGAAAGAAAUGUGACUUUCAGUUGGUAAAGUUACAAAAUGUGUGUCUCAUGCUGUGCAGUUUUUGUGACGUGCUGCAGGACAUUCCCUUCUGUACCCGUCAUCCUAGCUCUGUGCAAUUGUGCUUGGUCUGGUGAUUAUUUCCAAGAAGGCAGAGUCUGCGUCAGUACUGAGACAUCUUCCUUACUCAGCGCUGCUGGUAUAUCCGAAGCAAGCCAGUGCAGGAAGAAAUGGAAGGAGCUCUCUCCAACACAGCACAGCCACCUGGAAGCAGUUAAUGCUGUGGAAGAAAUGGAGAAGCCAGUUGCUUGCAGCAGAAGGACAACAGCAGGAACCCUAGAUGUACAGGGGUGGGACAGGAUGGAAGGAUGGCAGGCCCUUUCCAUCGCUCUGCAUGUUCUUGCAAAUGCAACGGGACAGGAAGUUCAACUUGGUGGGAAAGCUCAGCAGAGGUCCUUCAGAGGAAGCCUCACUGAUCCACCAUCCAGUGCCAGCCCGCUAACACAAUGUCUCGAUCUGCAGGCCAGCUCUAGACUUGGAUCCAGCAACUGCUUUCAACAUCCUCGAAGGCAUCUAAUUGUUCAGGACAUACCGAAUAUCUCCACUUUCAGAAAUCAAGCCUGGAGUAGAACUCCCUUGAAAGCAAGACAACAGGAAGCCGAGAUGAGUUUUAGAAAGGUCCCAUGGCACAGGUGCUGA